AUGAAGAAAAUUUUGUAGAUGUUGAAGUUGUGAGACAAAUAUGGGACCCGCAGAAUCGCACACGAAUCUGCGGGUCCCAUAUUUGCCUAGUGAACGAAGGGGCUCAAAGUCAACAGCUGAAAAUAAAAAUCUUACAAAAUGUAAUAAUAUGACAUUAAAAUUUUAAAUCAAAAAUAUUGAUCUUGUUUUAUAUAGUAUAAAGAAUUUUCUAUUAAAAUUUCACGUGAUUUGGAUAUUUCUACACCGUUAAACUUGCAAACGGCUCACUACGGCUAUUGAAAUUUGUUGAUUUUGAGCCCAUUUGAUCACUAGGCAAAUGAUAUCGAAAAAUAAUAAAAUUUAUUUUCUAGGUACUCCAAAUACUCUAGAUCAAGUUUAACGGAGCCGAUC
rnacentral:lncRNA from 1 species